rnacentral:rRNA from 1 species
GGUUAAGCGACUAAGCGUACACGGUGGAUGCCCUGGCAGUCAGAGGCGAUGAAGGGCGUGCUAAUCUGCGAUAAGCGCCGGUAAGGUGAUAUGAACCGUUAUAACCGGCGAUACCCGAAUGGGGAAACCCAGUGUGAUUCGUCACACUAUCAUUAACUGAAUCCAUAGGUUAAUGAGGCGAACCGGGGGAACUGAAACAUCUAAGUACCCCGAGGAAAAGAAAUCAACCGAGAUUCCCCCAGUAGCGGCGAGCGAACGGGGAAGAGCCCAGAGCCUGAAUCAGCAUGUGUGUUAGUGGAAGCGUCUGGAAAGGCGCGCGAUACAGGGUGACAGCCCCGUACACAAAAGCGCAUGUGCUGUGAGCUCGAUGAGUAGGGCGGGACACGUGGUAUCCUGUCUGAAUAUGGGGGGACCAUCCUCCAAGGCUAAAUACUCCUGACUGACCGAUAGUGAACCAGUACCGUGAGGGAAAGGCGAAAAGAACCCCGGCGAGGGGAGUGAAAAAGAACCUGAAACCGUGUACGUACAAGCAGUGGGAGCACCCUUUGGGGUGUGACUGCGUACCUUUUGUAUAAUGGGUCAGCGACUUAUAUUCUGUAGCAAGGUUAACCGAAUAGGGGAGCCGGAGGGAAACCGAGUCUUAACCGGGCGUUAAGUUGCAGGGUAUAGACCCGAAACCCGGUGAUCUAGCCAUGGGCAGGUUGAAGGUUGGGUAACACUAACUGGAGGACCGAACCGACUAAUGUUGAAAAAUUAGCGGAUGACCUGUGGCUGGGGGUGAAAGGCCAAUCAAACCGGGAGAUAGCUGGUUCUCCCCGAAAGCUAUUUAGGUAGCGCCUCGUGAAUUCAUCUCCGGGGGUAGAGCACUGUUUCGGCUAGGGGGCCAUCCCGGCUUACCAACCCGAUGCAAACUGCGAAUACCGGAGAAUGUUAUCACGGGAGACACACGGCGGGUGCUAACGUCCGUCGUGAAGAGGGAAACAACCCAGACCGCCAGCUAAGGUCCCAAAGUCAUGGUUAAGUGGGAAACGAUGUGGGAAGGCCCAGACAGCCAGGAUGUUGGCUUAGAAGCAGCCAUCAUUUAAAGAAAGCGUAAUAGCUCACUGGUCGAGUCGGCCUGCGCGGAAGAUGUAACGGGGCUAAACCAU